CAUGCAAGUCGAGCGAGAAAGUAUCUUCGGAUAUGAGUAGAGCGGCGGACGGGUGAGUAACGCGUAGGAAUCUACCUAGUAGAAGGGGAUAGCCCGGGGAAACUCGGAUUAAUACCGUAUACCUCCUAAGGGAGAAAGAGGGCCUCUCUUGAAGCUCUCGCUACUAGAUGAGCCUGCGUAAGAUUAGCUUGUUGGUAAGGUAAUGGCUUACCAAGGCUACGAUCUUUAGCUGGUCUGAGAGGACGAUCAGCCACAUUGGGACUGAGACACGGCCCAGACUCCUACGGGAGGCAGCAGUGGGGAAUAUUGGACAAUGGGCGCAAGCCUGAUCCAGCCAUACCGCGUGUGUGAAGAAGGCCUUCGGGUUGUAAAGCACUUUAAGCAGGGAGAAAAAGCAAUAAGUUAAUACCUUAUUGCCGUGAUGUUACCUGCAGAAUAAGCACCGGCUAAUUCCGUGCCAGCAGCCGCGGUAAUACGGAAGGUGCAAGCGUUAAUCGGAAUUACUGGGCGUAAAGCGCGCGUAGGUGGUUUGUUAAGUUGGAUGUGAAAGCCCUGGGCUCAACCUAGGAACUGCAUCCAAAACUAACUCACUAGAGUACG
rnacentral:rRNA from 1 species